rnacentral:rRNA from 1 species
CAUGUAGGCGGAUUAAUAAGUUUGAAGUGAAAUCCUAUAGCUUAACUAUAGAACUGCUUUGAAAACUGUUAAUCUAGAAUGUGGGAGAGGUAGAUGGAAUUUCUGGUGUAGGGGUAAAAUCCGUAGAGAUCAGAAGGAAUACCGAUUGCGAAGGCGAUCUACUGGAACAUUAUUGACGCUGAGAUGCGAAAGCGUGGGGAAGCAAACAG